UCAAAAUUCAUCAUUUAUUUUGGGCAGGUGCAAUAUUAAAUAAUAAUGGGAAUGUGUGUGAUGUCUAAAGUGAUUUGAUUUUGUGACUACUGCGGUGCUCAGCUGAACACAACUCCUGAUUUGGAAGACAGACUUCUCGUUCCUGCUGCUGAGGAUUCUUCUUUACCAGUUUUAACAGGAAUGAGUGUUUAUGUGAACAUCUCUUGAGAGACCCACACUGUGGAAGAUACUUACAAGACUGGGUUAUAUUUCUGGAAGAGCAAAUUCAUCUCUUGUCUCUCCAGAAGACUGACUUAUUCCCCCACAUUUAUCCCAGACAAGAAAAUGACUCAGUAUUUCAUUCAAGCUAAAUUUGAGCAGAACUAAGUUCCUUUUCAGGAACCCUCCCCAGCUUCUCUGAUGAGCACUUGUCAUGUUUGGAGGUUAGUCAGCUUGUCCUGCCUCCUUUGUUUUUUGGCAUAAGGGAAAGCCUAUAAACCUACUGAACAUUUUUUUCCUUUUUUAUGUCUUUCAUGUGUUACUUUCCGAUCAAAAACGUGAUUUGUCCAUUUAGAAACUGCCCACCUGAAGCAAAUAAAAACUUACAACACUGGACAUCUUUGAUGCAGCCCCAGAUAAAUGUUGUGCUGGGAUUUCUUGGAGAGCAGGUAUCCUGGGAGUAUACAGCAGCCUUGUCUCCAAGGAAAGACAUGCAGGAAGCACUGAGAGGUUAGUUGUUAAGGGUCUGGGCUCAGAUUUAGGCUCCUCCAGCUCAGAGAUGACAGAGCCGUGUGACCUUGGACAUGUUACUCUCCCUCUCCAUGCCUUGGUUUUCUCCUCUGCACAGUAGAGGAAGGAACAGACGCUGGCUCACAGAGCCAUGGAGAUGUUUAAGUGAGGUACUGCUCGUGAACCGCCCCCGGGCUUGGCCUCAAGAAGCUGUAACUGCUGUGACCUUUUAGGUCAGACCGAUCAAUGCUUUGGGACAGUGAGACCGUCACUCUCCGGCUUAGUGGUAACAUGAAUUUAUACUACACGUUUUGGCUGUUGCAUGAGUUCUUUCUCUCUGCAAUAAUGUGGAGUGUCUAUCAGUUAGUAGGCAUUCCGGUGCAAGGAUGAAGGAUGGCUUAGAUGAUAAAACAUAAGCGUCAUAUCGGAAUUUUAAAAGCCAGUAAAUAGGUGCUUCUGGGGUUGGCUUGGCACCAAAAUCGUGCCAUCCUUACCCAGGUCCUUUCUGUCUUUCUGCUCUGCUGUUCUCAACUAUUCUCCCCUGGAUUAUCACCUCAUGGUCCCAAGGUGGCUACUGCACCACCAGCCACCUCAACUAUUUUCAAUGGCAGGAAGUGGAGCAGGGCUGGGAUAGCAAAAAAGGACCUAUUUGCAUGAGCCCCCACAUGGCUUCCUUUCCUUUAUACAGGAAGAAAGUUCUUCCCUGAAAGCCACUGCUGACUCCCCCUUGAGUUAUUGACCAGAACAGGGUCACUAGGCACCCUGGCUGCGAGGAAGCCUGAGAAUGCACGUAUCUGGCUCACCCCAUCUUUGCAGCUGGAGAAAGGUGUUGACCGGGGCUUUGGUGUUGGUAACCAACAGUUUCUGCCCCAGGGUGUUGGACCAUAAUGAAAAACUGGGGCUCUCUAGCCCCACGCAUGGAAUGAACUGAGAGUUGGGAGAAGUGAGGCACGACCAGGCGUCCUGAUUUCCCCACCAGGGUCUGGCCUUCCUGCCAACUUCAGACACAAGUCUGAGCAAGCACCUCCCCUCUCAGCCUCCCCUGCACAAUGAGAGGCUUAGAGCAACCUCCUAAAGAAACAACAAAAGGGCCAGGUCACUGCUAUUUUUAACAACAUAAGAAAACAGAAUUAAGGUUGUUGGGGAGUGAAUUAUUGAUUUAUCACAUUAAUUACUGAAAGAGUGAGUGUGGGAAGACUUUCAAGAAGGAGGGAUUCACUGGGAGCUGGGUGGG
rnacentral:lncRNA from 1 species